rnacentral:lncRNA from 1 species
AGGCGGCCAUUCGACUUUCCACGCGUCUCCAGCUGCAAUAACCUGAAAUGUUAAUAAUGGGAUGAGCAUACAUUGUAUACUCAGUGUGGGAACAUGCAAUUAUUGUCCACGUUAAUAAAAUGGUAACACAUAUGAUCGUAACAUUCAUAACUGUAAGUCACACGGUGGCAUACCAAGGACCUUUCCGUCCUGGACCGAUUCAGCCAGCCCCUGGCGACUGGUUGCAACCAUAACUUUAACAUGUAAAUCGCAUUGUGGCAUACCAAGGACUGUGACGUCCUGGACCCAUUCAACGGACCCCUAGCGAUAUAUAAUUUAACUCACAUAUUGCAAACACAUAAUAUUAAAAUGGACAACAAUUAACCACAACAUGUACUUAAAUAAAUCCCCCGCCUGAAAAUUUAACUUGAACUUCAACUUCAACUUGAAUGCUAACUUGAGUAAUUCAAUUAAAAUUCAUAUCCUAGUCGCGCCGCACCUAGUCAGAUAAAUUCAAAUAAUAAAAUGUAAGGGCCUAAAUGUGCUUAGAAAUAAUUUAAAACUUGAGAAUUUCUUUUAUAAAAUCAUUAAAAUCCUUAGUCCAAAAUAAAUAAAGAUAUUUUCUUAUAAAUAUUUAGCUUUAUUAGAUUUAAAAACUAAGCUCAAAUUAAAAUCUUAUCUCAGAUCCAAAAUUUAAUUAAAAACUGAAGCCCAAAGAUCUAGUUAUAUUAAAAGCAAACUUCAGCCCAGCCAUAGAAUUAAAGUUGAAACCCAAACUUAAAGCCCAAUACCUUCCCUCUUCCUCUCUCUUGAAACACGCACAGCACCCUCCUUACUUCUUCUUCUUCUUCUUCUUCUCCCCCUUUUCUCUCUCUCAACCCCUCGCCCCCUCUCUUUGAAUCCGACGCCGCCGCCACCUCCGGCGAAUCCGCCGUCGUCGUCUCAUCUCUCGCCUCUAACCUCUCACCUCUCGGCCCUCCCUAUCUCUCCUUCACAGAACACGCACACCAACACAUGUCCAAACCCUUCUCCCUCUCUCUUCCUCCUCUCGCCUACACCGCCUACCACGCUCCGGCGGGCAGCCACGGCGAUUGCCGCCGUCACGCCUGCCGCCUCCUGCUCCAGCCCGGCGUCGCCCCUCAUCUCCUCUCUCCCCUGUUUCCACGGCCGGACAGCGCCAGCGGUAGCGCUGCCGUGACAGCAGCGGCGCCGCCUGCGGCUUCGCCGACCACCAUCAUACAGCCGCCGCAACUCCUUAUUUUCUUCUCUUAGCUUACCCCCUGGUUCAGCCCUCAAUUCCCAAUCAAUAAAAAUGUUUUCUUUUCUGUAACAUAGUCUUAUUCUACUUCUUGCUUCUAAAUUUGCUGUCAAUUUCGAUGAGUUUAAACAAAUGAAAUUGUUGAGGGCAUCAGAUUAUGUAUGGGCGUGUGUGUUUUGUUUAACAGAAGUUUGGUGUUUGAUUUGAGAAUAAAAAUGAUCUGUGAGAGGCAUAUUGUUGGGUUGCUGCAUAAGCUAUGAAUGAGGUAGCUUGUGUGAUGAAAUAAAAGUUUAUUGAAACAAUGAAAUUACCGAUUAGUAUUCUGUAGAGGAAAUCAGGUUGAUGUUCUGC